GACGAACGCUGGCGGCGUGCUUAACACAUGCAAGUCGAACGAAGUGGCGAACGGGUGAGUAACGCGUAAUCAACCUGCCCUUCAGAGGGGGACAACAGUUGGAAACGACUGCUAAUACCGCAUACUGAAGGAGGGGAUUGCGGCUGAUGAGCGAGUGGGAGGGGUAACGGCCAACCAAGGCGAUGAUCAGUAGCCGGUCUGAGAGGCGUAACGGCCAAAUUGGGAAUGAGACACGGCCCAGACUCCUACGGGAGGCAGCAGGGGGGAAUCUUCGGCAAUGGACGAAAGUCUGACGGAGCAACGCCGCGUGAGUGAGGACGGCCUUCGGGUUGUAAAGCUCUGUUAAUCGGGACGCGGUACCGGAAUAGAAAGCCACGGCUAACUACGUGCCAGCAGCCGCGGGAAUAC
rnacentral:rRNA from 1 species